rnacentral:rRNA from 1 species
UACAGAGGUCCCAAGCGUUGUUCGGAUUCACUGGGCGUAAAGGGUGCGCAGGCGGCCGUGUGUGUCAGGUGUGAAAGCCCGAGGCUUAACCUCGGAAUUGCGCCUGAAACUACAUGGCUAGAGUACUGGAGAGGGUAGCGGAAUUCAUGGUGUAGCAGUGGAAUGCGUAGAUAUCAUGAGGAACACCAGAGGCGAAGGCGGCUACCUGGACAGUUACUGACGCUCAGGCACGAAAGCGUGGGGAGCAAAAGGG